CAGCUAGUAGUUUAAUUUAAAAUAUUAGUUUUGGAGACUAAUGAUAGAUAUUAUCUUUAGCUGA
rnacentral:tRNA from 1 species